CGCUAGCGGCAGGCUUUAACACAUGCAAGUCGAGGGGCAGCAUAAUGAAGUAGCAAUACGGAAUUGAUGGCGACCGGCGCACGGGUGCGUAACGCGUAUGUAACCUACCUCUAACAGGGGGAUAACACUGAGAAAUUGGUACUAAUACCCCAUAACACUUGAUAGGGCAUCCUAUUGAGGUAAUUAAAUCUUCGGAGGUAUAAGAUGGGCAUGCGUAGCAUUAGCUAGAUGGUGCGGUAACGGCGUACCAUGGCGACGAUGCUUAGGGGUUCUGAGAGGAAGGUCCCCCACACUGGUACUGAGAUACGGACCAGACUCCUACGGGAGGCAGCAGUGAGGAAUAUUGGUCAAUGGUCGGAAGACUGAACCAGCCAUGCCGCGUGCAGGAAGAAUGUCUUAUGGAUUGUAAACUGCUUUUGUAUGGGAAUAAUAAUAGCUUUGCGAAGUUAGAUGCAUGUACCAUACGAAUAAGGAUCGGCUAACUCCGUG
rnacentral:rRNA from 1 species